UCCUGUGAACAUACCAAAACUAAAGAAUUACAAAGAAACGCUAGUUUUUUAUAAACAACAGAUUCUUUCAUGUCUCUUGGAUGAUAAGUUUUUUUUUUUCUGAAUUUUUAUGGUCAAAAUGGAUGAGUUCAGGUGAGCUGGUGCAAGUUUGAGGUUACUAUUGUUGACUCUCCCAAGGAUAUCACUGUUUUAGUUUCGGAGGACAAGGUGGUUCAUGCUCCUGCUGUCGUUAUAGCCAUAAAAUUUAAAGACUAUAUAUGGUCAAUGAAAAGCAGAACAUAAGUGAAAUCCUUUCUGCAUCUAUUCUCUGCUUUCACAACGCCAAGAUUGAUGUUCCAAUGCCAGCUCCAGAAAGAAAGAGAUAUGGUGGUAUUCUGAGUCAUUUUACCGUUGUUAGGAAUCUAGAAGGAACUGGUUACCCAAAUUGGUUGGAAAAAAAGAAGUGGCUGACAGAAAUUUAAAGAAUGGCUGCAGUGUUUUAAGUAUUGAAAACAGUGAAAGAGCAUUGUUGUGGGACAUAAUAUAUCAGGUUUUGAUCUGGACAUAAUAGCA